rnacentral:lncRNA from 1 species
ACCAAUUAUCAAGCCCUGGCCUAGAAUUUAUUGGUCUUUGGACAAUUCAUGUGACAUCUUGCAUAUAUCCUGCUCUUUCGGGGCGAAAAUGGGGCGUACAAUUAGCUGCUGUGACAAUCAUCACUUCGUUUUGGCGCUUGAACGCGUAAAGAUCCAAGAAACUUGGGUAAUAGGUACUGUAUUCGGUCAAUGAGAUCGUCUCUUGUGCGCAUUUGAUCGGCAGUCAGGUCUUUGGGAGCUUCGGAGGUGGAAUGGAUGCUGAAGAUCACUGCAGUGUCGUCGGGUGCGACCUCCUGCGUGACUUGCAUCAGUAUGCCACACUGUUUACUGCGUCAUGAUGUCAUAUUGUUGUCUCAUGGAUGCUCUUAUCAGAUGCUGGUGUCGCUGAGCGUGCCAGUGCUCUCGCACACAGGGAAGCCCAGGCCUACUGUGGAGCAUAUCAGACCUUUUCUUCUCCCUUGAACCUCCCGUCGCACCGGCAAGACUCUGCACAGCUACCAGCAACCAUCUUGCCACUUUUUGGAGCAGCAAGCUCAUCAAGUGCGUUUCUGGACUGAAGUGACUCCUUCUCAGCAUAUCAGGAAAAACGCAGGCUGUCCGAUCGAUGCCCAUCAUGUCAAGUAAUUUCAUUAUUCAUCAGGCAAUCGUGGCAAGGAAAAUGGAGGGGCACCUGCGACAGAGGUCAGCACGUCGGGCCAGAAAGACCACAGCACCGUGGCAUUCUGUGGUGGACCCAUCUGGGCACUUGACUGGUGCCCCUACCAGUCGAGCAGUGCCCAGUAUC